AGAAGUAAUAAUAGUCGGGAAAUAAAUAUCUGCUAACUCUAUACCAGCAGCAGUAAUGCAAAGAACGCAAGCUUUAUUUGGAGUGAAUGAGUAUAAAGCGUUUGUAAGGCUUCGCAAUCGCCCCGCACCGCAAAUAUGCCAGUGCACCUUAAACUCACCCACAACCACCUUAAUUGGAUCAUACUGUUGCCGUUCUUAAUUGAGAUGGUUUGAUUCAAGAGAAUGAGUAGGUUAUCUCAAUAAAGUUUUAGGAUUAAGUUUAUUACGUGUUUGGUUGUAAAUAACAUACCUAAAAUUUUGUAUAACUC
rnacentral:lncRNA from 1 species